rnacentral:rRNA from 1 species
UACGUAGGUGACCAGCGUUGUCCGGAUUUACUGGGCGUAAAGAGCGCGCAGGCGGUCGUUCAAGUCGAGUGUGAAAGCCCCCGGCUCACUGGGGAGGGUCACGCGAUACUGAUCGACUCGAAGGCAGGAGAGGGUAGUGGAAUUCCCGGUGUAGUGGUGAAAUGCGUAGAUAUCGGGAGGAACACCAGUGGCGAAGGCGACUACCUGGCCUGUUUCUUGACGCUGAGGCGCGAAAGCUAGGGGAGCAA